CUGGGGCUGGAGAAGGUCCCAAGGGUUGGGCUGUUCGCCCAUUAAAGUGGCACGCGAGCUGGGUUCAGAACGUCGUGAGACAGUUCGGUCCCUAUCUGUUGUGGGCGUUAGAAAUUUGAGAGGACCUGCCUCUAGUACGAGAGGACCGAGGUGGACGAACCUCUAGUGUACCUGUUGUGGCGCCAGCUGCAUCGCAGGGUAGCUAUGUUCGGAUGAGAUAAGCGCUGAAAGCAUCUAAGCACGAAACUCACCUCAAGAUGAGAUUUCUUUUAAGGGCCGUAGAAGACUACUACGUUGAUAGGCUACAAGUGUAAAGACAGUAAUGUCAAAGCUGAGUAGUACUAAUUACCCGUAGACUUAUAGU
rnacentral:rRNA from 1 species